UACGGAGGAUGCAAGCGUUGUCCGGAUUUAUUGGGUUUAAAGGGAGCGCAGACGGGUCGUUAAGUCAGCUGUGAAAGUUUGGGGCUCAACCUUAAAAUUGCAGUUGAUACUGGCGUCCUUGAGUGCGGUUGAGGUGUGCGGAAUUCGUGGUGUAGCGGUGAAAUGCUUAGAUAUCACGAAGAACUCCGAUUGCGAAGGCAGCACACUAAGCCGUAACUGACGUUCAUGCUCGAAAGUGUGGGUAUCAAACAGG
rnacentral:rRNA from 1 species